UUAAAGUUUUAUUAUAGCUUAGGGGGUUAGUGUAUGAAGGGGUUAUAUGUAAAUUUUAAUAUUUAAAAAUUUAAAAAAUUUUUAAUGUUUUUAGCAAUAAUAAGUAUUAAAUAUUAAUUAAAGUUAGAUUUAGUUAUUUAUAAUAAUAUUGACAAAAUUUGUGCCAGCAGUUGCGGUUAUACAGAUAAUGUAAUUAAUUUGUUUUAGUUUAUAAUUAAUUAGUAUUCAAAAAUUAUUGGUGGGGAUUUAUUAGGUGAAAUUUUAUUUUUUCAUAAUAUUUAUUUUAGAUGAUGAAGUUAUUAAAUUUAGGGUUAGACUAGGAUUAGAUACCCUAUUAUUAUAAAUGUAAAUUUUAAGCUUAAUAAUUAAUAGAUAUUUACUUUAAAGUUAAAUAAUUUGGCGGUAUUUUAGUCUAUUUAGAGGAACCUGUCCUGUAAUUGAUAGUCCACGAUUUAUUGUACUUAUUUUACUAGUUUGUAUAUCGUCGUAGGUUGAAUAUUUUAGAAGAAUUAUAAUUUUCAAGAUUUUUAAUAAUAAAAUAAAUCAGAUCAAGGUGCAGCCUAUAAGUAAGAAGAGAUGGGUUACAAUAAAUUAAUUUAAAUGGUUAUAUAUUUGAAAAAUAUUUAUUAAAGUGGAUUUAAGAGUAAUAAAAUUAAAUUUAAUUUUAUGAUUUUAGCUCUAAAAUAUGUACAUAUCGCCCGUCGCUUUCAUAUAAAAUGAGAUAAGUCGUAACAUAGUGGGUGUACUGGAAAGUGUAUCUAGUCUGAC
rnacentral:ncRNA from 1 species